UGCCCGACGAAGGAGGGAAGUUGAAAAAGACCGAGGGCUUCUGCAAAUGAUAAUGCCCUCAAAAAUAGCAUUACCGUUAUUAUUGCUAAAAUACAUGGAAUUUGUGUCGAAAAAAGAAGGAAACUAUGAAGGAAUUUGACUAUAAGUUUACUUAAAACUAGCUUCUGACGGGUUGA